rnacentral:miRNA from 1 species
GGGAGCAGACGUGCGUGUGUGCGUGUGUGUGUGUGUGUGUGUGUGUGUAGGCUGCUGAGGAGCGAGCCCAUG